UAGGAACAGACAGAAGACAUACAAAGAUACAUAUUAAUUAGGCGUCAUUUCCAUGAUUACAUUCAUAUUUAUCGGCUCCGUUGACUCCUCAAAGUCAAAGUGAAAUUCUUGAAGAAAGCUUUCAAGGUCACAAGGAAUGACUGGCAAAAAUUGCUUACCUGAGCCAGCUUAGAAGAUGAACACAUGCUUCUGGUGUGCGAAUUCAUUCCAAGAGGAAGUUUGGAAAAUCAUCUAUUCAGAAAGGAGUGCUUAUUUCCAACCACUAUCAUAGAAUCUCCGAAUGAAGGUUACUCUCGAGGCAACUAAAGGACUGACAUAUCUCCACAGCCCAGAAGCUAAAAUUAUAUAUCAGGAUUUCAAAUCAUCUAACAUUUUGCUUGCUGCUAAUUACAAUGCAAAGUUGAGUCAAUCAACAGUAAAAUGGGUACCUUCUGUUGUGCUGCUCCCGAGUAUAUGACCACUGCAUCAGUGUUGAAUUAAUUUGACAGCAUGUCCAGUCUCCUCAACUUUUGUAAAUGUAACUCUUUAGGACACUCUAAUUAUCGACCUGUGGCUUCUUUGAUUUAUCUGUCUCUUUAAUAGGUAGAUUUUUUGUUUCUGUGUCGAAAAACUACAUGUUGACCAUUCAUUUAGGUAGUGUAAAUGAUGUUUUAAUAAAAGACUACUGCAAAAAAUUCCUCCACCUUAAAGCAUAAUCGAACUUGCAUAACACGACAGUCAUAGGUGAUUCAGGUAAAUACAGAGGGAUAACACACGCUGCUCAAUUAGUUCUAAUGGUAAAUGUUGUUUUAUUACAUCCUCAAAUAGAGGCCUCACAUUCGAACUUGGGAAACAUUAAGUCAAUAAGUGCACUAAAAUGAAUAUAGUGUGAAUAGACUUCCUUCAUCAAUUAGCCUCGCUGAAUUUGUUAAAUUAUCACACAAAUUUUCUUAAGUUCUUGAUGAGGUCUCUCUUAAGAGUUAUCUCCUCUGUUUAAUCCUUCAGUCUUUCAUACUCGCAAAUAUCAAUACUAUGUGUCCUGAAAGAAAUUGGGAGUGUAACACUACUUGGUUUGUUCUGUCAUGUAACCUGAGAUAAUUUCUUUUCUCAGCUUCUGAUUGUCGCCUCUCAUAUGUAAAUCAUAUAACCACCAGAACUGACGUAUACAGUUUUGGAGUUGAAGAAAAACCGCCCCCACGGAGAACAUAAUCUAAUCCAAUAGGCUUAAGCCUUUAUAGAUUACCUCUAUUUUAUAGUUUACUGACAAAUUAAAGUUCAUCUCAAGAGUUGUACAUGUUCAUGAAUAAAAGUAAUAAACUUAAUUUUAUUUCUUUAACAUGUGAUGCACUCACUGUAUUACUUCAGAAAUAAUGAAUAGUUGGUGCAGUUAUACAAUAUCUCUUUACUUACCGUUUGUCUACUAUAGAUUCGAAGACCACAGGGUGAGAUUGUAUUCAUUUUGUCCCUAUAUAAGAUGACAUAGUUAUGUCGAUUAUUGUCUCCUAACUCCUUGGAGAAGAGAUUUUCCAUUUUGUAUAGGAUAGUCAAGGGAUGGGAUGGGGGCCGUUGUAAUCCAGCAAAACUCAAUGGGAUGGAUGGGUGAGGAUUUAGGGGUAGCCGGUGUAGGAUAGUCCAGGGAUGGGAUGGGGGUUGGAUGCAAUGGCUAAUUUGGAAUUUUCACUAAGGUUGUUUAGUAAUUUCUUU